rnacentral:tRNA from 1 species
GGGGAUGUAGCUCAGCCUGGCAGAGCACCUCGUUCGCAACGAGGGGGUCACGGGUUCAAAUCCCGUCAUCUCCA